AUUGUCGUAACCUGCGAAAGCAAUGCAACUCGCGAACACGUACUUUACACUYGKGAAUCCAGGGGUGCCUCCCUCGCGAACACCCUUGGUUUCCCGACAACGUCGGGGCGGCYUGGCGYUCUUWUCUCCCGRCGACGUAAAACUCGCUMGGGCWRAYAGACGCCGRGCUAAACCAACGGAACAAAAAACCGGCGUGAAAUGCGCCAAGGAACAUGAAAGAGWGUGCGCUCUUCUGGUGUCAGCASUGCUGCGCYRGGAYGGGCGUUGUCUUCUUGAUGAGUUUAUAAUGACUCUCGGCAACGGAUAUCUCGGCUCUUACAUCGAUGAAGAACGUAGCAAAAUGCGAUACUUGGUGUGAAUUGCAGAAUCCCGUGAACCAUCGAGUCUUUGAACGCAAGUUGCGCCCGAAUCCUUUUGGUCGAGGGCACGUCUGCCUGGGUGUCACGUACACAUGCCUCCCGCAAACCUUCCCCCUUUGUGGAUGAAGUGCCUUGCGGGAGCAGAUAAUGGUAUCCCGUGCUCUUUCCGCGCGGCUUGCCUAAAAAUGGAGAGCCGGUGAUGUAACGUCACGCCUAGUGGUGGUUAACGAGGCCUAAUGGCCAACCAGUUCGCGGCGUGACUAGUAUUCACCGRAAAUCUCCCGCGACACCUUGGACGUCCUCUGAUGGACGUGCUAUUGUCGCGACCCCAGGUCA
rnacentral:misc_RNA from 1 species